rnacentral:rRNA from 1 species
GACGAACGCUGGCGGCGUGCCUAAUACAUGCAAGUCGAACGCAGUGGGGACGGGUGAGUAACACGUGGGUAACGUCACAUCAGAGGGGAUAACACUUGGAAACAGGUGCUAAACCGAAAUUGAUGGAUGGACCGGCGGUGCAUUAGCUAGGUGGUGAGGUAACGGCUCACCAAGGCGACGAUGCAUAGCUGACCUGAGAGGAGGAGCGGCCACACUGGAACUGAGACACGGUCCAGACUCCUACGGGAGGCAGCAGUAGGGAAUCUUCGGCAAUGGACGAAAGUCUGACCGAGCCACGCCGCGUGAGUGAAGAAGGUUUUCGGAUCGUAAAGCUCUGUUGUUAGAGAAGCGGUAUCUAACCAGAAAGCCACGGCUAACUACGUGCCAGCCGCCGCGGUAAUAC